GGGAACACGGUACUUCCACCUGCCGUGAGGGCCACGGUGUCCUGAAGGCCUUGUUGUUCCUGUCCCGUGGCCUGCUUGGCUGGGCUUGGUUGGGCUCGACCAUCUCCCCAUAGGCCAGGGUGCCUGAACUGGCGCCAUGAGCUCCCCCGAUGAGGUGUCCGUUUGGAGGGCUGGUUUCGACCUGGGGGGUGGCGAGCAGGCUGGCACCUGCACAGUCAGCCCCGGAGCCCCACAGGGCCACAGCCGAGGCCUCGAUCUGGGGGCACCACACAGCAGCAAGGGCGAGAGCAGGUUCACAGAUCCCGAGGGCUUCAGCUUCGAGUCUGAGAGCGAAUUGAUAGAGCAGGGAAGGGUGGUGCUCUGGGGCCAGGAAGGCCGGCCUAGCACCCCGGUCGACGACCAAGGGGACGGUGUGGACUACUCGUCCUACCUGGUUGAUGAGACAGCCGCCAUCGUGCCACCGUCCAGCAUCCAGGGACACCCGUUCCCUGAAGACGCCACUACUGAAGGGUCCGCUGAAAACUGGGUGGACCUGGAGGUCGGUCCCAGUGGGAGAGGCAUGCUGAGCCCCAGCCCUGGAGAAUGGCAGCAGGCCUCUGCCGGCCCUCUCCACCUCAGUGUUCCUGAACCAGGCCGGGCCUGGAAGAACCCAGAAAGGGGCUCGAAGAGCAGAUGGAGCGUCCGCGUGGACCCCCAGCAGCCCUCUGUAAUAGGCCCCACCAGGAUGUCUACCCACGACUCUGAUUCCUCCGAUGAGACCAGUGACUUACCACUGAUGAGGAUGGGCAUUCGCCACAAAGAAGGAAGCCAAGCCAAGUUCGGCAGCCACAGGAAGCCAGCAGACACAUCCAGACACUCAAGCUUCCACUGCAAGGAGAGUUACUUGCCCGUGCCAGGCCGUUUCCUGACCUCUGCUCCCCGCGGACUCACUCCAGUCGUGGAGAGGCCGGCUGUGGGAGAGCUGGAGGACUCUCCCGGGAAGAAAAUGCUGAGCAGGGCCUUGGGAAAGGUGGAGGCCAGGCCCAGCUGCUCAGGAGCUGCCACUGCAGGGGCCCUGCCCUGGGGCCCUUCUAAGAGGAAGAUGGCCCAGGAGAAGUCUCUAGGGGGUGCCUCUCAACUGGCCCUAUGGAGACCCUUUCCUGCCUGCGGAGAGAGACUCUCAGCCACUCCCCCAGGGCCGGCCACCUCCCAGCCAUUGCCUGGUGUGCGGCCGCAGGGGAUGUCCAAGAAACCCCAAAAGCCUAAGCACAGCAGCCCUGGGAAGAAACCAGCAGGAAGGAAGACCAGGGAGUCCCAGGCUGUGGCGAGAGAAGAUAAUGACCCAAAUAGAGAUGAGGUCCCAAGGGCCCAACUUCCCACACACCGGCCAGGACUGCCUCGCCUAUCCACGCAUCGUGGAGAAUUCAGCAGUAGCGACUCCAACAUCAGAGCUCCCCAAGUUCUGGGGACUUCAGAGCCCUCUGCCUACAGCCUGGGAGGCCUCGUGCCCAGACGCCAUGCACCCUCUGGUGACUGGCAGCCACCUGUCCAUCCCCCAAGACCGGAAAGGCAGCAAUAGCCCCCGGGAGCCCAGGGCUGUCCUCGGUGCAUCCGGCUGCAGAGGGAAAUUGAGGACCUUAGAGACCAACUAGCGGCCAUGCAGUUCCUCACUGACAAGUUCCAGGACCUUUGAAGUUGGAGCCAGCAUCUUCCUACAAGAUGAACAGCUGCCACCUUUGGAGCUCCGGAGCUGCAGCCAAGCGGGUUCCCUCCAUAUCCUGUUCAGCCAGGGCUUCCUCUCUUCCUCUGCAUUUGCACACUUCCCAACGCAGUUCAAAGCAAUUUGAAAUAAAGUCGUUCUCAUAUUC